GGGCGAUGGCGGGAGGCGCUGCGAAUGGCGGAGAGGAGGGGACGGUGGCAGGGCAGCGCCUGACUCGGAAAGAUCCCGACCACACCUGAGCUUGCUGCCCAGAUCUACUCUCUUCUGUGAUUUAUCCUUCUCCAUUGUUCUGUGUAAGCUGUUGUCCCUGUUGCAGUUUAUUUAAACAAGCUGUCCAACAAUGUCCCAAAGCUCAGCACUUCGGCUCUGGUGUUUGUCAAGUGUGUGUGUGUUAGCAGUGCUGGAUUACAUGAACCUAAGCCUUGGCCCACGGCUUUGAUUCAUCUGAAAUUAAAUGAUGAGUGCAUCAA